rnacentral:rRNA from 1 species
UACGGGGGGGGCAAGCGUUGUUCGGAUUCACUGGGCGUAAAGGGUGCGUAGGUGGCAGUGUAAGUCUGAUGUGAAAGCUUCGAGCUUAACUCGAAAAUGGCAUUGGAUACUAUAUUGCUGGAGGUUUGGAGGGGGGACUGGAAUUCUCGGUGUAGCAGUGAAAUGCGUAGAUAUCGAGAGGAACACCGGUGGCGAAGGCGAGUCCCUGGACAACACCUGACACUGAGGCACGAAAGCUAGGGGAGCAAACAGGAUUAGAUACCCGUGGUAA